rnacentral:rRNA from 1 species
AUUGAACGCUGGCGGCAGGCCUAACACAUGCAAGUCGAACGAGUGGCGGACGGGUGAGUAAUGUCGGGGAAACUGCCCGAUGGAGGGGGAUCACUACUGGAAACGGUAGCUAAUACCGCAUACCAUCGGAUGUGCCCAGAUGGGAUUAGCUAGUAGGUGGGGUAAAGGCUCACCUAGGCGACGACCCCUAGAUGGUUGGAGAGGAUGACCGCCCACACUGGAACGGUGACACGGUCCAGAUUCCUACGGGAGGCAGCAGUGGGAAAUAGUGCACAAUGGGCGCAAGCCUGAUGCAGCCAUGCCGCGUGUAUGAAGAAGGCCUUCGGGUUUUAAAGUACUUUCAGCGGGGAGGCGUUACCCGCAGAAGAAGCGCCGGCUAACUCCGUGCCAGCAGCCGCGGUAAUAC